GCCCACGUCUUCUCGAAGGCGGCGAGCGCGGCCUUGCGGGCCUCGGGAUCGGCGUUCUGCGCCUCGAUGCGGGCG
rnacentral:tRNA from 1 species